GUUUGGUAGCAGUAAUUUUUAUCUUAGGAUUUUACGUUAAGCUAGCAGUGGGGCCGGGAAGGGUUUCUCUUCUUCAACGGUUCAACCUUCGGCCCUUCUCAUCUUGUUUUCUGAAGUUAGGACAGCACUCUCUUCUCAUCUUCAAUCGCCGACGCACCUUCUCCUUCCUCUCUUCCACCGGCGCAAUUUGUUAUUCUCUACCCUCCAAAUGCCUCUUCGGCUCGUUCACAGACCCAAUUGUUCAGAUUUCUGUUUACGGCAUGCUCAACCCGCCAUCAUCGCUUCACUACAAACCAUACCCUAACCCUAACCCUAAUUGCAACUCCCUAACUCUAAUUGCCACUGGAAAUCGACAUUCAUAAUGAAGCAGAUGUACAGCUGAGGUUUGCAAUUCUUAAUCUUUCUGAUGAACGUUGAUGAGCUCGAGGACAAUAUUACCGUUUGGUUUUAACUAUAGUUAUUGCUGCAUCAUUUGCCCACUCUAUCUGGAGGAGUUGUUGGUACUUUUCUAAGUUUUGUUGUUUGCUGUUUUAAUAUGCGUGGAGAAGGUAUUGUCAUUGUAGGUUUUGUUGUUUGCAGUUUUCAUGACUGCUGGAAAAUAUGUACAUAUAAUUUGGUUGGCUUCUAAUAAAUUGGAUAUUUCGUUCUUUGCUGCUAUAUCUUGCUAACUGUUGAAUGGUCCUUGAUAGUUGCUUCUGCAGUCUUGUUUCUUUCAGGUUUUGCCAGCUGUUGCCAUUAAAUGAUCUUAACAUAUAUAAUAGUUUGAAAGGCACAGUGGGGUCAUUUCUUUCUUUUUUAUUUAUUUUUAUACAUGUUCCUCUGACAUGGACUGUUUUCUUUUUCUAGUUUUACUUUCUUGUUUUUGGUUGGACAGUGUAACCGUAUUUGAAGGUGUUGUACUGCCCUUGUUUCUGUUUAAUUACAUGCAUCUGAACAAAUAUAUAUAUAUAUAUAUAUAUAUAUAUAUAUAUAUAGACACACGAUUGAUAAUUUUAGACUGUCCUAAAAGAGGGGCUGAAAAAAUCAUUAUGAAUCUUCUCUCUUUCCAUGUCAAGUUCCCUUGUAGGCCCAACCUUGGAGAUAGAUUUGGCGGUUUAACGAAUCAUCGAGUCUGAAUUUUUUUGGAGAGUUGUUGGUGAGGCGAAGAAUAAUGAUUUAUUUCCUUGGGAGGUUGAAAUCUUGCAAGAACUUCUUAUCAUUUUUCUGUUUCUUUUUUUCUUUGUGGAGUUGCUGCCAGAUUGUUUCCAUUGUUUGCUUGCAUCUAGUUAUUUGAUAGUGUUUUUUUCCCCUUCUUUUCCUUUUUGGCAUUACUGCUUGCUUUCACCUUGAAGUUGUUUGUAGUUUAUUACAUUUUUACAUGAAGAUGCUUAAGUAAGGCUCCUUCAUGGAUGGUCUAUGAACAGUUAACCAAAACGUUUUGAUAUUAAUUCUGCAUGGUUAAUCAUAGAGCAUAAAUUUGAGACUUCUUUGCAUUUCCCCCCUCCCUAGACACAAUGAAGAAACGUAGGAUAGUUGUAUGUAUGGCUGCAACUCGGGUUGGGCCAGCCCGAAUUUACCUGAGCCCAGCCCGAAAUUUUCAGGGCUUGGGCAGUGUUUUUCUGUUCUAGGUCUGGGCUUGGGCUAGAUAUUCUGAGUCCGAAUUAAAUUCGGGCUGAGCUUGGGUUGAUAUUAUAUAAAGCCCGAAGCCCAGCCCGAGCCCGGAAAUGGUAUAUUUAUUUUACAACUAUGUUAUUUCACAAGUGUAUAAUAGCUUAGUUGGUAGUGUGUUUGGAAUUUUUCUUGGAGGAAUGCUGUUCGAGUCCUUAUAGCUGCACAAAUUUCUUAUUUUUUACAUUUUGAAUACAGAGGCGUGGGCUUAUGGGCGGGCUUGGGCAGGAGAAGUUAAUUAUGGGCUGAGCUUGGGUGGCUGGGAUUGGGCUUUAGGCGGGCUCGGGCAAAAGAUUUUGUACAUGGGCUGAGCCCGAAUUAAGUCUCCAGCCCGCCCGACCCGCCCGAGUUGCAGCACAAUUUGUAUGGGGCCACUUCUUAUUCAAUGACCCCAACUCCAAGUACAGGGUUGGUAUUUUUUAUAUUGUUGAUUGAAUUUCAUAAUUUUAAUGUUUUACCUAGUCUGAGAAUACUUAGCAACAUUUGGAAUGUAUAAUGAGGAUUAGACUGAGUCUUUUGUCAUAUUUUCUUUCUUCCCUUUCACCCCUUUUUCUGUUUUGUGUGUUUUUUGAUCUAUCAUCCCUGUAUUUGUCUAUAGCUCAUCUCUUUCUCUGAUAGGGUACCCUGGCAUAGGAGCUGUCUGCUUUGGUCAAUAUUGAUGUUUGGACUUAUUAAAAAAAUAUAUAUAUUGAUGUUUGGCAUAUCAACUCCAUUUUUGUAAGUUAUGUGGAUAGAAAAAUACAAUUUACGAGUUUUUGAUUCAUGAGUUUUGCAAAAUAUGAGGAUAAGAAAAAUACCAAUUACGAGUUUUUUUUAUUUGAGUCAUUAUCGUAAUAGAUGCUUGUAACUCACUAGCCCGGGAAACAAAGGGGUGAUUUGUACGAAUUUGAUAUCUAGCAACAAAAAGAAGUAAAAUGAUUGAAUAGAUGGGUAUGAACCACCUUGGAGACAGUUUUGGGUAUGGACAGAUGGAGCAGGGGAUUUCUUCCCCCCCACCCCCCCAAUUGAUCCAGCGUUGGGUAUUCUAUUUCUUUUCUAUUGUAUAUGGAAUUUUGGUAUAAUGAUGUCUGUUAACAUGUUUUUUCCCCUUUUUUUGGGGAGGGAUAUCACGAUUUCUAUGUUUUAAAAAAUUACAAAGGCUGAACUCCUGUUGUCAGGCUGCCGGGUGUGAGCCAUGAUAUAUUUAGCCAUGAAAUAUUUACAUAUGAUAUUUAUUUGUCUUUUUGCAAGAGCGUGGCAAUUUACAGUUAUCUUUUGCUGCCUCAGUUGACGUCAUUAGGUAUUUAAUGCUGCAGUCAUUGACAGAUUAAUGUUGUUAAGUUCUGAAGAGGCAUCAUCAUUGCACUGUGAGAACUCCGCUGUCCUUUUUUAUCCUUGGUGGUGCUGCUUAGCCUUCUGGUGUUUGCUUGCAGCAGUUGUGUGCUAGCUGUUUGUUGAGUUGUUGACUCAGCCUACUGCAGUAACUUCUUUUUUUCAACUGAAAACUUCUGCAUAGUUGUUGGAACAAUGGUUGGUUUGUGACUUGAUAAUCAACAUGGACGAAACCAUAGGGAAAAGGAAUUGAAUGGUUGGAAGAAAGUAUUGACUUUUUCAGGUUAUUACUUUCUAUAUCUAUUUUCUGUUUGCACUAUUAUGAGAAUUAUGUUAAGGAUAUUGUUUAGGCUUUCACUUUUGUAAGUUCUUAUUGUUUUGGUAGUUGUUCCAUAGUUAUCUAUAUAGCAUAUCUUGUGUGCCCUGCAAACUUUUGUGGAAAGAUGGAUGUGUUCGUGGUCCAAUGGCUACAGUUCUGCCAGCUUCUUGUAGACUGAAAGUUGCGGAUUUGGCCACAUCAGAGAGAGAAAGUCUCGACCAUUAGAGCUCAGGGAAAGUCGCUCAAGUGGAAGCACAGAGCAGGAUCACCUAAUCACCGACCCAGCAUACAGAUAGAAGCUUCAAGCCAAACCCUCGUCAUCUCAUCUGAUGAAGCUUCGGGCUAGAAAGAUAUGCUGAUAAUCCAGAUUUUCUAUUACUUGGAGGGAAGUAGGACAUGCAGGUGAACCAAAGCCAGGCCUACUUAUAUAGAAUACCUUUCCUUGAGCUGUUUAUCUUAUUAAUACUUUAGUGGAAUAUUAACUGUCUGCCUCAUUCUUAUUGAUAAGCAGCUUGGCUUUCUUUGCUAGAAAUUCCUCAACAAUGGAAGCCUUUUUGUGAAAUCUCUGCAAUUUUGAUAUUAUUGCUUUUAUUAAUGAUUUUGUGAACUUGGUAUGAACAGUUGUGCCCAUGUUUAAAUAAGAUCAGUUGUCUUACCCUAGCUACGGCCCAAGUAGAUUGCUGAAAAUAAUUUACAAAUAAUUGAGAGCGGAGUGAAGCGAUCAUUUUACUCUCUUUUAUUGUAUACACACACAUAAAAACUCACAAACACACGUACAUAUCUCCUGUGAUUACAUAUGAGGUGCACAAAUGAUACCCUCGAUGAGGAUGUGAACUCUCUAUCUCUUGGGGAGGUGUUUUCUAACCAUUUGAUGAUAACUAAGAAUUUUUUGAAAUGCCGUUCUUGGCUGCUUUGGUAGUUUUUGUUGAAUUAAUGAUUAAGUUAUAAAUCACAAAUUGCUUUGGUAGUUUUUGUUGAAUUAAUGAUUAAGUUAUUAAUCACAAAUUGAUACGCAAUUUUUUUUCCUCCUAUAUAAAAUGAUUUAAUCUUUAUAUUUAUGAACCUAUGAUUAUCCAUUAUUUCCAAGAUGAUUUAAUCUUUAAACGAGUUCUUAUAGUUUAUGAUUGAUUCUUGUAGGAUUCAUUGCCUUGAAUUUAAUGUAGUAUUUGGUAGAAAACACUUUGCGGAUCUAACAAAGUAUGUUUGCUCAUUAUUCUUUUAUUUUUAAUUCUUCUAGUUUGAUUUAAUCUAUUUGAUGUCACUCAGCAACAAGUUGUUUAGUUUACAUAUGCAAGUCAACUUCUUCUGGCGUCCAUACCACUCUCUGAAUAUUUUUGUUAUUCGUACAGUUAAAUAUAUUGUUUGCUCAUAGUGAUAUGCGUGACACUGAUGUUUUUCUGUCUCAUUUUAUUUUACUUUACUCUCGCGUGUUGUUAUUCCUAUCUUAUAUUGUUUUGCAAUAAUGAUUUUAUCCAUGUGUAUUGUUUGUUUUUAUCUUGAUGGUGAUAUAGUUCUUCGUGAAGCAGAUAGAUGUUGGGUUUUCAAGGUUGACAUUGCUGUGCAAUCGUGUCUGUUUAUUAUGUUUUUUUAUCCUGUUUGGAUUGAGCUGAAGUCUUGGAUUAUUGAUUUCAUUGAGGUUUUCCACCAUACCAUGAAAGUAGUCAUUGAAAUAUAGAAGUGAGAGUUCUGAAGAGGCAUUAUCAUUGCUCUUGGACAGUUCUUCUUUCUGAUUGCCAUUCCAGAUGCAAGUAGCAGGUAGCAGACCAUCACUAUUUUUGCCUCGUAUUUUGUGUAGCAUUUGGUAGAAACUAUUUUAGUUGAUCAAUGAAUCAGAAAAGCCACGUUUCUCGGAGCUUUUUGCAUGGGACUUUGCGGUUAAGUGAUUUCUUAGGGACCUCAUUUCAAUUGUAGGGUUGAUGGAGUGGGUCUUGCUGUGAACUUUCUUGUUAGAUCGUUGUAUUUCUGUAAUUAGUGAAUCUAACGUGUGGUAGUAUUUCGGAAUGUCCUUUGAUUCGGGGUUUUGGUUACUGAUUUCUUGUCUGUUCUCAACUUUCUUGUAUGUGAUUCCAUGUUGCAGAUAGCCUUAACCCAUCGUCUUUUAUGGUAAUACGUCAGUCCUUUUCCUUGAGAGGCACUAAAAUUUAUUUGUUAUCUAUGAGUGUUAAUGUUGGUGUUUUGUGAUUUGGGUUUGAUAAGCAAUUUUUUGACGAAAAGGCUACUAAUUGAAUUGCAUAUAUUAUCGUAUAUAUUGUCUAUGAGCGUUAGUGUUGGUACCCUCAAUUGAGGAUUUUUGUAUAUCUAGUUGUCGAAUCUCAAUUUGGUUACAGUUCUUCCUUUGAGCACGGGGUAGAGCAGUUUGGUAGUUUGCAAGGUCAGCCUUGAGAUCACUGGUUCAAAUCCCGUCUCCGCAACAUUUGUUAGUCUGUGUUACCUUCUUUGAAGGCGCUGUAGUGUUCUUGUUUCUGUUAUAAAUUAUAUACACCUGAACAAAGCUAAAAAUACAGAUGCUGUUCUAUUUUCAGAGCUCUCCUUACACAUCAUUCAUGAUAUUUGACUGUUGCUGAAGAGGGGCUGAAAAAAUCAUCAUUAAUCCUUCUCUCUUUCCAUGUCUAGUUUCCUUGUAGGCAUGACCUUGGAGAUAGUUUUGGUGGUUUAACAAAUUACAAAGUCUGAACUCUUUAGAGUAACUGUCGUCCAGUUGGACGUGAACCGUGAGUACUUUCUUUUUCCUCCUCUUUUGAUUUCUUGGAAGAAAUUAAAGUUCUUAUCGAUAAUUUAUAGCAUUUCUAAGGUACAAAAUUUAUGAAUUUUCUACUCUAAAGGGUUCCAUGCAAAGGCGUUGCUGUGGUACAGACUACGGAACUCAUGAAUGUUUGUGCUUCGAGUGUUUCUUGCAAAGGCUAUUCUCUGCUAUGCUCGGUGCUUUCUUCCUUUCCUUUGGUUUUUUUUUUUUUUUUUUUUUUUUUUUGGGGGGGGUGUCAAUUCUUCACUCGCGGUUCUCUUUCAUGAGGUAAUUUCGCGUAUUUUGUGCUUCGGGCAUUGCCUUUUUACACGCGCAGUUUCAAUGAGGGUUGUGCAGCACUUGUGCUAGGUGUACUAGCUUGACUGCCCGUUAUGAACUUGUCUAGAUGACUAAAACAGUUUUCUUUUCUAACAUACUCAUGCAAUAUACAGAAACAUGUUUUUGCAUGUUGGAGAGUUGGCGAGGUGAAGAAUAAUGAUUGUUU